AGAGUUUGAUCCUGGCUCAGGAUGAACGCUGGCGGCGUGCCUAAUACAUGCAAGUCGAACGAAUCUUGAAAACUGAAGCUUCGGCCGAUGUUUUCUUCUGAUUAGUGGCAAACGGGUGAGUAAUGCAUAAGUAACCUACCCUUAAGUCUGGGAUAACUUCUUGAAAAAGGGGCUAAUACCGGAUACAUUCUUUGUUUUACUGAAUAAAGAAGAAAGGUUUACUGCUUAAGGAUGGGCUUAUGUCUGAUUAGCUUGUUGGUAAGGUAAUGGCUUACCAAGGCAAUGAUCAGUAGCUGGUCUGAGAGGAUGAUCAGCCACACUGGGACUGAGAUACGGCCCAGACUCCUACGGGAGGCAGCAGUAGGGAAUAUUGCGCAAUGGGGGCAACCCUGACGCAGCAACGCCGCGUGAAUGACGAAGUCUUUCGGGAUGUAAAAUUCUGUCAAGAGGGAAGAUAAUGACGGUACCUCUGGAGGAAGCCCCGGCUAACUACGUGCCAGCAGCCGCGGUAAUACGUAGGGGGCGAGCGUUAUCCGGAUUUACUGGGCAUAAAGGGCGAGUAGGUGGUAUUUUAAGUUGGAUGUUAAAGGCUUCGGCUUAACCGAAGUAUGCAUUCAAAACUGGAGUACUAGAGAUCAAGAGAGGAAAGCGGAACUCAUGGUGUAGCGGUGAAAUGCGUAGAUAUCAUGAGGAACACCAGUAGCGAAGGCGGCUUUCUAGCUUGAUUCUGACACUGAGGCGCGAAAGCGUGGGGAGCGAACGGGAUUAGAUACCCCGGUAGUCCACGCUGUAAACGUUGUUCACUAGGUGUAGGAGGUAUCGACCCCUUCUGUGCCAAAGAUAAUUCGUUAAGUGAACCGCCUGGGGAGUACGACCGCAAGGUUAAAACUCAAAGGAAUUGACGGGGGCCCGCACAAGCAGUGGAGCAUGUGGUUUAAUUCGACGAUACGCGAAAAACCUUACCAAGACUUGACAUCUGCAGAACUUUUUAGAAAUAAGAAGGUGCCCGCAAGGGAGCUGCAAGACAGGUGGUGCAUGGCUGUCGUCAGCUCGUGUCGUGAGAUGUUGGGUUAAGUCCCGCAACGAGCGCAACCCCCGUCCCGUGUUGCCAGCAAGUAAGUUGGGAACUCACGGGAGACUGCCUGUGGAAAGCAGGAGGAAGGUGGGGAUGACGUCAAGUCAUCAUGCCCCUUACGUCUUGGGCCACACACAUGCUACAAUGAUUGGUACAGAGGGUUGCGAAGCCGCAAGGUGGAGCCAAUCUCAUAAAACCAAUCUCAGUACGGAUUGUAGUCUGCAACUCGACUAUAUGAAGAAGGAAUUGCUAGUAAACGCAGAUCAGCACGCUGCGUUGAAUACGUUCCCGGGCCUUGUACACACCGCCCGUCACACCAUGAGAGUCAGAAACACCCGAAGCCAAUGUGCUAACCUUUUUGGAAGCAGUUGUCGAAGGUGGAGCUGGCGAUUGGGGUGAAGUCGUAACAAGGUA
rnacentral:rRNA from 1 species